rnacentral:rRNA from 1 species
UUUACCUACGGGACGCAGCAGUGAGGAAUAUUGGUCAAUGGGCUUACGCCUGAACCAGCCAAGUCGCGUGAGGGAAGACUGCCCUAUGGGUUGUAAACCUCUUUUGUCAGGGAGCAACGCCGGCUACGUGUAGCCGGACUGAGAGUACCUGAAGAAAAAGCAUCGGCUAACUCCGUGCCAGCAGCCGCGGUAAUACGUAGGGGGCAAGCGUUAUCCGGAUUUACUGGGUGUAAAGGGAGCGUAGACGGCAGCACAAGUCUGGAGUGAAAUGCCGGGGCUUAACCCCGGAACUGCUUUGGAAACUG